rnacentral:RNase_P_RNA from 1 species
UCAGACGGCCGGAUGGCCGCGGCGCUCCUCGCGGGCGUCGAGGAAAGUCCGGGCUCCACGAAGGACACGGUGACGGAUAACAUCCGCCGGGGGCGACCCCAGGGACAGCGCCACAGAAAUGAUACCGCCUACCGGCCGCUCUCUUUGCGGAGAUCGGCCGCGGCAAGGUUGAAAUGGUGCGGUAAGAGCGCACCGCGGCCCCGGCAACGGGACCGGCAAGGCAAGCCCCACCGGGAGCAAGACCAAAUAGGGACGGCACAGGAUCUGUCUUUCGGAUCGCCGUCCGGGUCGGUCGCGUGAGGCGUCCGGUGACGGACGUCCUAGAGGAAUGGCCAUCGCGCGCCGCAAGGCGGGCACAGAACCCGGCUUACAGGCCGUCUGACACU